AAGUAAAAGUCGUAACAAGGUCUCCGUUGGUGAACCAGCGGAGGGAUCAUUAAAGAGUUGCAAAACUCCCACACCCUUGUGAACCUACCCGUUUGUCGUUGCUUCGGCGGGCAGCCCCUGGGAGGGGCCGCGCCUUUCACGAGGUGCCCGCCGGAGGACCCCAAAAACUCUUAUAUUUAACGGCCUCUCUGAGAAACUUUUAAAUAAGUAAAAACUUUCAACAACGGAUCUCUUGGUUCUGGCAUCGAUGAAGAACGCAGCGAAAUGCGAUAAGUAAUGUGAAUUGCAGAAUUCAGUGAAUCAUCGAAUCUUUGAACGCACAUUGCGCCCACUAGUAUUCUGGUGGGCAUGCCUGUUCGAGCGUCAUUUCAACCCUCAAGCCCGGCUUGGUGUUGGGGCAUUGCGGCCUGCCGCAAGCCUUGAAAAUCAGUGGCGGGCUCGCCGUAACUCCGAGCGCAGUAAUACAUCUCGCUUUGGAAGAGCAGCGGGUCCCGGCCGUUAAACCCCCUAUUUUUAUAAGGUUGACCUCGGAUCAGGUAGGAAUACCCGCUGAACUUAAGCAUAUC
rnacentral:rRNA from 1 species